rnacentral:rRNA from 1 species
GGGUAGUCCCAGCUGUAAACGAUGCAGACUCGGUGAUGCAUUGGCUUGUGGCCUAUGCAGUGCCGCAGGGAAGCCGUUAAGUCUGCCGCCUGGGAAGUACGUACGCAAGUAUGAAACUUAAAGGAAUUGGCGGGGGAGCACCACAAGGGGUGANNNNUGCGGUUCAAUUGGAGUCAACGCCAGAAAUCUUACCUGGGNANACAGCAGAAUGAAGGUCAANNNGAAGACUUUACCANNNANNNNNNGAGGUGGUGCAUGGCCGUCGCCAGCUCGUGCCGUGAGAUGUCCUGUUAAGUCAGGUAACGAGCGAGACCCCUGCGUCUAGUUGCUACCAUUACUCUCUGGAGCAGUGGAGCGAAUUAGACGGACCGCCACAGUUAAUGUGGAGGAAGGAAGGGGCCACGGCAGGUC